ACUAAGCGUACACGGUGGAUGCCCUGGCAGUCAGAGGCGAUGAAGGGCGUGCUAAUCUGCGAUAAGCGCCGGUAAGGUGAUAUGAACCGCAAUAACCGGCGAUACCCGAAUGGGGAAACCCAGUGUGACUCGUCACACUAUCAUGCAGUGAAUACAUAGCUGUAUGAGGCGAACCGGGGGAACUGAAACAUCUAAGUACCCCGAGGAAAAAUAA
rnacentral:rRNA from 1 species